CGCUGCUGGAUCCGCAGCUCACCUGAGCAUAACAGCAGCUUGCUGAUGCCAGUGACGUCACACUGGCGUAUCGGUGCACGUGUAAUAGGUCUGUAGAGCAGUCGCUACACCACACCAGGGUCUCCGUCUGGACCUAGACCAUGACCUAGACCCAUAACAACAAACCUGCUGUAACCCAUACCGAGCUGGCAGGGUCGUAGCAAGCUUUGGACAUUUCAUAUUAAAAAGCAUCAGUCUGGUGCGUUUAGAGAAAAAAGUAGAGCUACAGGCUGGUGAGAAUAAUAAUAAUAAUAAUAAUAAUAAUAAUAAUAAUAAUAACAAUAAUAAAGCCCUUCAUUGUCUCUCAUUGAGGAAAUUCUGGUGCACCGGCAGCAAAGUUACAGGUAAGUUAAGAAAAACAGAUUCACACAAAGAAAAAUAAGAAUAGAAUAGAGAUUGUAUAUUAUUUAUAGCAAGGAUGUUGUAAUGACACAAAUAUAUUGUAUAAGAUGUUAUAAUAGCAGCAUGAGACUAGAGAUGAAAACAUGUACAAUCAUCCAGUGUUGGACUCAGAUUCUGUGCCACUGAGGCAAAAACUGAAAAGGGAUUAUUGCUUUGAUCAAUGUGCAAAUAUAUGUGUUCAUAAAGACUGUACAAAGAACAGCAGACAAACAACUGCAUGAUAAAGUAUCUCUACAUGUUCACGGUAUUCUAAUAUUAUGUAUAUGUGAUUGAUUAUAUAUCCUGUCCUGUCUUUAAUCCACUUUGAACACCGACUACAGCGAAGUCCUCUGAUGCAUCCAUGCUGCUCAGUACUGCGCUAGCCUAACCUGGAGAGGUAGUGUGUUCCAAAGUUUUGGGGCACAGAUAGAAAAAGGCCCGCGGAUCUUCUAACAUGCCUUAGGGACGGUGAGGAGGAGCUGAUCUGCAGGUCUAGGAGCACGAGGAGGGUGGUAGAAAUGAAGGAGUUUGCUCAGAUAGGGAGGUGCCUUACUGUCCAGCAAUUUGAAUGCAAGAAUGGGCAACCAAUGGGGUGAUUUAAAGAGCGGGUCAAUUGAGCCUCGGAGUCCUUCUCCACCCACGUAUCAAUUUUAAAAAAUGCAACAUUAGUAGGCGUUGCCUGGAGGACCGAGAGGGCGGAGCCGCGGCAGUGACGAAGACGAUGGCUAACUAGACGAAGCUAGCUCCCUUCACUCUUGAGCAGUUAUUAGAAGUGGAGGACGUUUCUCCCCCCUCCUUACACAGACACUCGAGAAGAAAGGGACCAAGUCUAUUUGGAGGAGACAAGCGGACCUGAGUCUUAUUGUUUUGAGCUUGUGAGUUGCCUGAAACUCCCAGAACCGACCCAACAGAAUCACCUCUGAAAGGUCCUCUGGUGUCUGCAGGUGGUCUCUGGUGUCUGCAGCUGGUCUCUGCUGGUGUCAUCAGGAUCAGGAGCUUCCAGAAGAAUGUGCCUUUCAAUGACUCUUUCCCCCUUAUUUGUUAUAUUAAUUAAAUAAAUGUCAA